rnacentral:rRNA from 1 species
UACAGAGGUCUCAAGCGUUGUUCGGAUUCAUUGGGCGUAAAGGGUGCGUAGGCGGCGCGGUAAGUCGGGUGUGAAAUCUCGGAGCUUAACUCCGAAACUGCAUUCGAUACUGCCGUGCUUGAGGACUGGAGAAGGAGACUGGAAUUUACGGUGUAGCGGUGAAAUGCGUAGAUAUCGAGGAGGAACACCGGUGGCGAAGGCAGGUCUCUGGGCAUUAACUGACGCUGAGGAGCGAAAGCAUGGGGAGCGAACAGG